UACGAAGGGGGCUAGCGUUGUUCGGAAUCACUGGGCGUAAAGCGCGCGUAGGCGGGUCGUUAAGUCAGGGGUGAAAUCCCGAGGCUCAACCUCGGAACUGCCUUUGAUACUGGCGACCUGGAGUCCGGGAGAGGUGAGUGGAACUCCUAGUGUAGAGGUGAAAUUCGUAGAUAUUAGGAAGAACACCAGUGGCGAAGGCGGCUCACUGGCCCGGUACUGACGCUGAUGCGCGAAAGCGUGGGGAGCAAACAGGAUUAGAUACCCUGGUAGUCCACGCCGUAAACGAUGAGUGCUAGCCGUCAGCAAGCUUGCUUGUUGGUGGCGCAGCUAACGCAUUAAGCACUCCGCCUGGGGAGUACGGUCGCAAGAUUAAA
rnacentral:rRNA from 1 species